rnacentral:tRNA from 1 species
CUGCGCCUGGCCAGGUCCGGGCCGCACGAUCCCGGCGUGAUUGAGGCGGAAGCGCGGUUCGGGGACCUGAUCCUUGGCAGUUGGCGCAGC